rnacentral:rRNA from 1 species
GUUGAACGCUGGCGGCAUGCUUUACACAUGCAAGUCGAACGGUAACAGGCCGCAAGGUGCUGACGAGUGGCGAACGGGUGCGUAAUGCAUCGGAACGUGCCCAGUCGUGGGGGAUAACGCAGCGAAAGCUGCGCUAAUACCGCAUACGAUCUCUGGAUGAAAGCGGGGGACCGAAAGGCCUCGCGCGAUUGGAGCGGCCGAUGUCAGAUUAGGGAGUUGGUGGGGUAAAGGCCCACCAAGCCAACGAUCUGUAGCUGGUCUGAGAGGACGACCAGCCACACUGGGACUGAGACACGGCCCAGACUCCUACGGGAGGCAGCAGUGGGGAAUUUUGGACAAUGGGCGCAAGCCUGAUCCAGCAAUGCCGCGUGCAGGAAGAAGGCCUUCGGGUUGUAAACUGCUUUUGUACGGAACGAAACGGUCCUGGUUAAUACCUGGGGCUAAUGACGGUACCGUAAGAAUAAGCACCGGCUAACUACGUGCCAGCCGCCGCGGUAAUAC